rnacentral:rRNA from 1 species
CAGCCGCCGCGGGAAUACGAAGGGGGCUAGCAUUGUUCGGAUUUACUGGGCGUAAAGGGCGCGUAGGCGGACUGAUAAGUCAGGGGUGAAAUCCCAAGGCUCAACCUUGGAACUGCCUUUGAUACUGUUUGUCUUGAGUUCGAGAGAGGUAAGUGGAACUGCGAGUGUAGAGGUGAAAUUCGUAGAUAUUCGCAAGAACACCAGUGGCGAAGGCGGCUUACUGGCUCGAAACUGACGCUGAGGCGCGAAAGCGUGGGGAGCAAACAGGAUUAGAUACCCCGGUAGUCCCUGUCUCUUAUAC